rnacentral:rRNA from 1 species
UCGGAAGGCAGCAGUGGGGAAUAUUGCACAAUGGGCGCAAGCCUGAUGCAGCCAUGCCGCGUGUAUGAAGAAGGCCUUCGGGUUGUAAAGUACUUUCAGUCGUGAGGAAGGUGUUAAGGUUAAUAACCUUAGCAAUUGACGUUAGCGACAGAAGAAGCACCGGCUAACUCCGUGCCAGCAGCCGCGGUAAUACGGAGGGUGCGAGCGUUAAUCGGAAUUACUGGGCGUAAAGGGCACGCAGGCGGUUAAUUAAGUUGGAUGUGAAAUCCCCGGGCUUAACCUGGGAAUGGCAUUCAAGACUGGUUAGCUAGAGUCUUGUAGAGGGGAGUAGAAUUCCAUGUGUAGCGGUGAAAUGCGUAGAGAUGUGGAGGAAUACCGGUGGCGAAGGCGGCCCCUGGGACAAAGACUGACGCUCAUGUGCGAAAGCGUGGGGAGCAAACAGGAUUAGAUACC